rnacentral:tRNA from 1 species
CGGCGGGCUGCCGUAGGGCGGCGGCGCGCCGUUGGGGGCGGCGCCGUUGCUCGGGGGCAGUUCCGGGUUCGUCCUCGGCGG